rnacentral:misc_RNA from 1 species
AAUAAUAAUAAUAAUAAUAUUUCUCUUUUUGAUAAAUAUGAGAUUGAUAGAAUAUCAAGUCAACUAGAAAAAUACAUAGAAAAUAGUUCUAAAGAGAAAAUAAUUAAGAGUAGUCAUGAUAAAAAGUUUAAGAUUUUUAAAGGGUUUUUAUUGUUUAGAUAUUAUAAAAUGAUGUGUGUUACAAGUUCAUAUGAUGAUGUUGUGGUGAUGGAGAAAAAUGUUUACAACAAUUCACGGUUGCCGGAAAAGUCGCCGGCGCCGGUGGUGAAGUUUGACACUUGCCGGCCACAGAGAAAGCAUGUCUAGUUUGUCACGUCGUGGUCAGAGAUGGAUUUAAAAUUUUACUUUGAUGUAAUUAAAGGUUUCUAUCGUUGAAUUUAUUGUAUCUUUAAACUUGCGAGUUUGGAUAAAUUUGUAACGUAUUUCAUGUACAUAUUUAUUAUGUUACACAUUUAAAAUAUUGUAUUCGACUCCUCCUUUAAUGUUUG